rnacentral:rRNA from 1 species
UGGGGAAUAUUGGACAAUGGGGGCAACCCUGAUCCAGCCAUGCCGCGUGAGUGAUGAAGGCCCUAGGGUUGUAAAACUCUUUCGGCGGGGACGAUAAUGACGGUACCCGCAGAAGAAGCUCCGGCUAACUUCGUGCCAGCAGCCGCGGUAAUACGAAGGGGGCUAGCGUUGUUCGGAAUUACUGGGCGUAAAGCGCGCGCAGGUGGUCUUGCAAGUCAGGGGUGAAAGCCCAGAGCUCAACUCUGGAACUGCCCUUGAGACUGUGAGACUUGGGUACGGGAGAGGUGAGUGGAAUUCCGAGUGUAGAGGUGAAAUUCGUAGAUAUUCGGAAGAACACCAGUGGCGAAGGCGGCUCACUGGCCCGUUACCGACACUCAGGCGCGAUAGCGUGGGGAGCAAACAG